CUCAGCAUGGCAUGGAGCUGGAUCAUCCUCUUCCUCCUGUCAGUAACUACAGGUGUCCAUGCCCAGGUCCAGCUGCAGCAGUCUGGUCCUGAGUUGGUGAGGCCUGGGUCCUCAGUGAAGUUGUCCUGCAAGGCUUCUGGCUUCAACAUUAUUAACAUGUAUAUAAACUGGGUGAAGCAGAGGCCUGGACAGGGCCUGGAGUGGAUUGGAUCGAUUCUUCCUAUACUUGGUAGUACUGACUACAAUCAAAAGUUCAAGGGCAAGGCCAAACUGACUGCAGACAAAUCCUCCAACACAGCCUACAUGGAGCUCAGCAGCCUGACCUCUGAGGACUCUGCGGUCUAUUACUGUGCAAGAGACACAGUGUUGCAACCACAUCCUGAGUGUGUUAGAAACCGUGGAGGAGCAGGAAGCUGCCCUGCGACUAAGAUGACAGAGAUGGUUAUUCUGGAAACUUGCUCAAAAAUAAUCAUUCUGGUCUGUCAUUUCACAGUCUCACAGGUCUUUGCCAACUUUUCAAAGGGGCUGCUGGGCAUAAGGUGA